GAUGAACGCUGGCGGCGUGCCUAAUACAUGCAAGUCGAGCGAACAGACGAGGCUCUUGCUUCUCUUACGUUAGCGGCGGACGGGUGAGUAACACGUGGAUAACCUACAUAUAAGACUGGGAUAACUUCGGGAAACCGGAGCUAACACCGGAUAAUAUAUUGAACCGCAGGGUUCAUUAGUGAAAGACGGAUUUGCUGUCACUUAUAGAUGGUUCCGGGCCGCAUUAGCUAGUUGGUAGGGUAACGGCUUACCAAGGCAACGAUGCGUAGCCGAUCUGAGAGGGUGAUCGGCCACACUGGAACUGAGACACGGUCCAGACUCCUACGGGAGGCAGCAGUAGGGAAUCUUGCGCAAUGGGCGAAAGCCUGACGGAGCAAUGCCGCGUGAGUGAUGAAGGUCUUCGGAUCGUAAAGCUCUGUUAUUAGGGAAGAACAAAUGUGUAAGUAAAUAUGCACGUCUUGACGGUACCUAAUCAGAAAGCCACGGCUAACUACGUG
rnacentral:rRNA from 1 species